rnacentral:rRNA from 1 species
GUUGGGUCAGUCAGGCGUGAAAGCUCCCGGCUAAACCGGGAGAGGUCGUCUGAUACUGCCUAACUCGAGUGCGGUAGAGGGGUGUAGAAUUCCGGGUGUAGUGGUGAAAUGCGUAGAUAUCCGGAGGAAUACCAGUGGCGAAGGCGGCACCCUGGACCGCAACUGACGCUGAGGCGCGAAAGCAUGGGUAGCGAACGGGAUUAGAAACCCCGGUAGUCCAUGCCGUAAACGAUGUACACUCGAUGUUCGGUCUGGGUCACCAGAUUGAGUGUCAAAGCUAACGCGCUAAGUGUACCGCCUGGGGAGUACGGUCGCAAGGCUAAAACUCAAAGGAAUUGACGGGGGCCCGCACAAGCAGCGGAGCGUGUGGUUUAAUUCGAGGCUACGCGAAGAACCUUACCUGGGCUUGACAUAUAGGUGGUAGUGAAGUGAAAGCGGAACGACCUUCGGGAGCCUAUACAGGUGCUGCAUGGCUGUCGUCAGCUCGUGUCGUGAGAUGUUCGGUUAAGUCCGAAAACGAGCGCAACCCCUGGGAUUAGUUACAAGUGUCUAAUCCAACUGCCCGUGACAAACGGGAGGAAGGUGGGGAUGACGUCAAGUCAGCAUGGCCUUUAUGUCCAGGGCUACACACACGCUACAAUGGCGCGUACAAUAGGUUGCGAACCCGCGAGGGGGAGCCAAUCCUCUAAAGCGCGUCGUAGUUCGGAUUGUAGGCUGCAACUCGCCUGCAUGAAGUCGGAGUUGCUAGUAACCGUGGAUCAGCUACGCCGCGGUGAAUACGUUCCCGGGCCUUGUACACACCGCCCGUCACGUCAUGGAAGCUGGUCACGCCUGAAGUCGAGAAGCUAACUGCAAAGAGGCUAUCGCCGAGGGCAGGGCUGGUGACUGGGACGAAGUCGUAACAAGGUAGCUGUAGCGGAAGCUGCGGCUGGAUCACCU